AGCAUCCCCGUAUUUUCCGGGCGCUUGUAAUUAUUCCCCCGGCACUUUGUCUCCCAACACAAGCGUCUGAGUCACAGAGGAUGCUCCCCCCUCGCCGCCCCGUGUUCCUGGCUCCGGCUCCUCUCCCACGCCCCCGGGGCCCCUCGCCCCGCGGCGCCCCUCCGCGCGCCCGGCCCCCGGAGCCCACCUUGAAGCUGCUUGAAGCGCCCCUCCAGCACGCUGGCGUACUGAGCCGGGUUGAUGAAGGCAGCCGGCGAGAGCAGGAGGCCCCCGGGGUUCUGAGACCCUUCCACAGCCUCGUAGUAAAACUCGCCGGCCCCGUUCAGGCCGUGCCCGUGCGCCCUGCUCCCUCCGUGCCCGUUCAUGUUGCUGCUGCCUCUCGCUCGCCCGGGGCCCAGAGUCCAUGCUGUGCCCGCGCCGGGGCGGGGCGCCGAGGGUCCGCUCCCCCUCGAGCCUGGGAUCGCGCGAGGCUGGGGUCCCCGGGGGGUGGGGCAGGGGGUGUGCCUCAAGGACUGUGGAAGUUUCGAGGAGUGGGAAGAAGGAAGCACGGGAUGUCUGCGCCCCCGAGCUCCGGGACCUGUCGGCAGAGCACACCUGGCCGCGGCGAGAGGAGACGCAGGCAGCUCCAGACAAACAGAAACAGUGAUAUGAAUAUUUCACAAGCGAGCGUGUGGACCUAACCAGAAGGACGGGGAGGCCCAGGAGAAAAUCAUAAGGGGUCCCCAGAAGCAGCGGCCACCACAUGGAGCUCCUCCGGCUGGUGCUGGGCUGGCUGAAAAGAAUUACCCGGAGAGCUUAAAAAUCCUGAUCCCUGGACCAUAGGUCAAAAGAUUAUAAUUCAGUGUGUCCAGAAAGGGGUUUGAGAGCAUAUAUCUGUGAAAACAUCCCUGGGUGAUCCUGUAAAAAGUGUGGCCAAGUUUGGGAAUCAUCUCCCUCAGUGUCUCCCUUCUUCCAGGAGGCCACCCCACCCAUGCUGGGAGCACUACUUCUCGGGAAGGAGUAGCUGUGACCUCUCCCACUGCACUGGGCUGGGAGGCCAGCAGGUCUGCUCUGCUCUCCUGACGGCCAAAGGUUGUGAUUGCUGUUUUGCGACAUAGUGGAGACGAAGGUCUCCAGAGCCUCAGGUCUCCAGAGCCUCAGGCCAGAGAGGGACAGCGGGCAGGGGGCUGAAGGUGGUGAUGGCCAUCAGCGUGGCUCAGGACAGUGGUGUGUACACCAGGGCUAUCAAUGCAGGAGGCAGGCCUGGGACCCCUUGGGCAAUAGCGAGCAUAAACCCGAGUUCUUUCAUUCCUGGUUCCACAAACUGUUCUGAGCCCCUUCUCCCCACAGGAUAGCCUCCUAUAUACACUGUAAGCGAUUUGAGAUGAAAAGACCCAGAUCUGCUUUCAGGCCAAGAUGUAUCUAUAAUACACCAGGAAGACUGACGCACUGCUUGUAAGUGUGGAUAAGGAGCCCAGGAGUUCAAAGGAGGACACAGUAUGGUUCUCUCCCCCUUUCCCCUUUUGUUUGUGACAGAGAAUACUUAAUAGGUGCUCGAUGAAUGUCAGCUGUGACAUGUGUCCUCACCAUUUACAUGCAUCUCACCUCAUUGCAACCCUCUGUGGGGCAAGGGUCCAUUAUCACCCCCAUUUCAUAGAUGAGGAAGUUGCUCUGUGAAAGUUAAGUCACGGUUCAAGGUUGCCAGAAGGCAGCUGGAAGGAGCAGAGCUGGGUUUGAAGCGAGAUUCCGACUCUGGAGGACAAGCUCUUAAUCACAACAUGUACAUGUUCCUCGAACUUCCUGGAGCCCUUCAGAGCUCCCUGGGAGAGAUCAGCCCCCAUCGCUCCCUUCUAGGGCCGAGGCUGGGGAAACUGGGACCAGAACAACUCAAGACUCUAUGUUACACAAACCAACCCUGUCCUUCACCAAACCAAUACACGAGCUUCAGAUUAGCUUCUAGGGAUAAACAAACAAACAAACAAACAAACACAAAACAAAAAACCUCUAUUGAUCAAAGUUCUCAAGUACUUCAGCAGCCUUUCAAGAGAAGCGAGGGGACUGGGUCUAUAAGUGAACCCCAAAUUCUGCACUUCUCAUUUUCCUCGUGCCUCUCAAAUACAAAGACAUUUUAAUCCUCAGCGCCACUUCCUAGGGUUGGGGCGAUGACCUUGGCCAUCUCUGGUUCUGGAAAGAAGGUAUGGUACCUCUUGUGUGGUUUGGGGGAAGGAAAAAAGAAUGGGUGGUGAGAUGUGGGUGGUUAGUGAGAUGUGUUCCCAUGGGUGCACAGGGCAGAACUUGGCUUCUGUCAUUAAGUGGUUCCGUGAAGCGGAACCUGACCCACGUGAAGGCCAGGAUUGUCUGCCCUCCCCUUCCUCCCACUGAGAAAACACACACAAGGAUUUCCCUGGGAGUUAAGGUCUCAGGUUCCUAGAUUUGGGCUUUUCUUUCCCUGUAACGGGAGAGAGCGCUUCAUUUCUACUAGGCUGAGGACUCCUUUCUCAUUUAAAAUUCAUAGUUUU